UCCUCUCUCUCUCUCUCUCUCUCUUUUUCUGUUCUGAUAUCAAAUAAUAGAAGGCCUACUUUUGUUUUUCUUGUUCUAUUUCAUUAAAAAAAAUAAAAAAUAAAAACUUUGAUAAUAAAAAGUUAAUGUGCUGUGCUUGUCUUAGACUGUGAUGUUUUGUGGAAUAUUACCAUUGCACUGCUAAAUUCUGGAAUCAUUAGAACUUGCUUAGAUUAGAUAUGCAGCACUCUUGACUAAGUAGUCAAAUAAUGUGUUAGUUUUCACCUUGAUUAGAAGUUUAGAAUCUAUACUCUUUUAUCUAAAGGUAUUGAUUCCAGACAUUACUUCCAAAGAAGAAGAAAGAAAGUAACUAGCGGUAUAAAAAUAGCCAAACAGAGGAGAUUGUUAGAGUGAGUUGGUCUAGCAACUGCACCUCCAACUCUGGCCUCACGUCCAAAGUGUGAAGGAACGUUGCAACUCUGAACUUCCUCCUAUCUUUCUACAUAUAACUUUAAUCACCUCACCCUCCCUCUCUCCAUAUAUAUAUAUAUAUAUAUAUAGCAUAUAGAGGAUGUAUGUCUUAUUUGUUGAUUGUGUUUGUUGAUUGUGAGUAGCUGAUGGAGAACUCCAAAGGGAUCGCAUUGAUCUCUCUCUUUGCUUUGUGUUUGAGCAGCGAGAUCAUGCGUUCCCUUCGGAAUUUUCCGUCUGCUUCUUCUUAUCCUGCCUUGUUUUGCUAGAGGAAGAGAUGAACAACACUAUGAAUGAGUGAUGGUUGUGAUUAAUGUCAGGACAUGAACAUGCAUGCAUGAGCAGAGGCUUGUCCAUAUAUGGAGCUGUCUAAUGGCUUUAUCUUGCAUGGUUGGAUUGAAUGGUGGGGGCAAUUAGUCACAAAUCUUGAACAUGGCUAAAGAGAAAAAUCAAGUGAUGUUGUAUAUAUAUCAUACAUGGUGUAUGAUUUCAGGGAUGGACUAGUUUUUGCAUUAGAUUGAGAUUGAUUGAUUAUCUUGUCUUAAAAUGUUUAAUCAUACCACGUUUAAUUAUAUAAAGUUGGCAUUUUACUUUUAUGGUUUUUAACA